GACAAACGCUGGCGGCGUGCCUAAUACAUGCAAGUCGUGCGGACCUUUUAAAAGCUUGCUUUUAAAAGGUUAGCGGCGGACGGGUGAGUAACACGUGGGCAACCUGCCUGUAAGACUGGGAUAACGCCGGGAAACCGGGGCUAAUACCGGAUAGUUUUUUUCUCCGCAUGGAGGAAAAAGGAAAGGCGGCUUCGGCUGCCACUUACAGAUGGGCCCGCGGCGCAUUAGCUAGUUGGCGGGGUAAUGGCCCACCAAGGCAACGAUGCGUAGCCGACCUGAGAGGGUGAUCGGCCACAUUGGGACUGAGACACGGCCCAAACUCCUACGGGAGGCAGCAGUAGGGAAUCUUCCGCAAUGGACGAAAGUCUGACGGAGCAACGCCGCGUGAGUGAAGAAGGCCUUCGGGUCGUAAAACUCUGUUGCCGGGGAAGAACAAGUGCCGUUCGAACAGGGCGGCGCCUUGACGGUACCCGGCCAGAAAGCCACGGCUAACUAC
rnacentral:rRNA from 1 species